AUGGUCUUGAUCCGGUACGGCGUCACCCACUUCAUCGAGCACCCCCUACCACCCAAUGCCGAUGCCGCCACCUGUGAGCUGGACGCCCACCUUGUCCUUUGGAUCUAUGCCACCAUCGCCGAUCCCAUUGUUGACCACGUCGUCGGCGCCACCUCCACGUACGAGGUCUAGUCUCGGUUUCGUGACUACUUGCUCGCCAAUCAGGCUGCUCGGUAUAUGAUGCUCAACCGGCAGUACCACAACCUCAAGCAGGGGGGCCUCUCCGUAGCAGAGUACGCCCGCCGCAUGAAGCUCCUCACCGUCGGGAUCGCCGACAUCGACCACGCCGUCGCCGAGGUGGACCUCACCACCCAAUUCCUCCAUGGCAUCGACAAGCGCCUCGACACCAUCCGCGUCGUCUUGGGGGAUAUGGUGCCGCUGCCGCCAUUCGAGACGGUGUUCUCCCGUCUCAAGCUCGCCGAGGAGAACCUGGCCCAGCGCUCUGCUGAUGAGAGCGCCUGA
rnacentral:rRNA from 1 species